rnacentral:rRNA from 1 species
AUACGGAAGGUCCGGGCGUUAUCCGGAUUUAUUGGGUUUAAAGGGAGCGCAGGCGGAGAUGCAAGCGUGACGUCAAAUUUCGGGGCUCAACCCCGUCUCGCGUCGCGAACUGCGUCCCUUGGUUGCGGGAAGGGGAGGCGGAACUCGUGGUGUAGCGGUGAAAUGCAUAGAUAUCACGAAGAACUCCGAUCGCGAAGGCAGCCUUCCGGCCCGCCAACGACGCUCAUGCUCGAAGGUGCGGGUAUCAAACAGGAUUAGAUACCCUGGUAGUCCGCACAGUAAACGAUGGACACCCGCGGUUUGGCCUGUAUGGCUGAGCCGCCAAGCGAAAGCGUUAAGUGUCCCACCUGGGGAGUACGCCGGCAACGGUGAAACUCAAAGGAAUUGACGGGG